CACUUCAACCAGUGCUUCCUCAGACAGGAUAAGUAACGGGAACUACUCACUAUCGAAUCUGUGAGUGCUAAAACUGUUACUAGAACCAUCCAGUCGUUCUCUAAAAGAGAACUAUAAGUUUCUUAAAUGUGCUUUAAAAGUGCAAGCACCUGCAGCUUCAAACAUGUGACUGGCACUACCCUCUCUAGGUAUCCUACAGAGGAUUCUCAUUGCAUUAUUGUACGCAACAUGAAGCUUCUGCAUGUUAAAUUACUUGUAAGAUGAUCACAAGGGGCAGUAUAUAGCGCGGUGCUAUAUACAAACUUUAAAGCCACUUUAAGUGGAACUGAAGAGAAGCUGAAUUUGGUAUUACAAUGGUAUUUUUCUGUACAUAACACUUACAACGUUGUCUACAUAUGUCAUCAUCAUCAUUCGAUCAGUAAUAAAGCGACCGAGGUAUUUCACCUUUUUUACCUCAAGAAUAUUGUCGGACAGUUUAAACACAGGAAAAUGUAGCUGUUUAUCCUUGGUUCUACAUAUUGUACUUUGUAUCAUAUCGCACACCAUAUUCAGUACAGAUAUUAAGGAGCUGCUGUAAUCCAGCACUACUUUUUCAGGUCAUCUGCAUACAUACAGACUCUCAGCUGUAUGGACAAAUCAUCAACAUAUAAAUUAAAUAAAAAUGAAGACAAAAUCUCAUCCUGUCUGACACCAUUGCUAACAAUAAAGUGGCUAGAAAUACUAUUUUCCCUGUGCUGAUAGUGUUAGUGCAGCUGUCCCUUUAAUAGUUCUCACACGUGGUGACAUCGCAGGAAGCAGGAAGUGGAAGGAAGCAGGAAGUAGUAGGAUUUAGGGAAGUUUACACAUGGCCCAAUGACUGCAACGAAUGCACAUGCAUCUGCCCUUAAUCCUUCGUCUUUUGGCGCAUCAUCUGUAUAUAUAUUGUUUAUUUGAUACCUACCUGUAUUUUGUGACAUGAGAGAAGUUUGAUGUGUGACUUUGAUAAGUUGGUGAAGCCACAUAUUUAGAGAGCAGCUAUUUAGAUUAUUGUAGAGAGUAGUUACAGUGUAUAUGGAAGAUUUAAAGAAUAUGCUUUGUAAUUGUAAUUGUGUUAUGUUUGUUUCAGUUUCACACUUUUUACAUCAUUAAACCUGUGGACAAAGAGUAAUGGUUUUCAGAGUCUUGAUGGAAGAAAAGAGAGGCCAAACGGACUGCGACUUCAGAAAACACCAGCAAUAAGAAAAACGCUGCAAAAGCACACAAAACACAAUGGAAAUAAGAAAAAGAAACAAAGGAAAUAGGAACAAAAAACAACAAAUAGGAAAAACGAAAACACAAGUAGGAAAAAACAUAACAGAAGUAUUUCUGGGGAGACAAUAACCCGACGGACCAGUUGCAGGAACCCAAAACAUGGCAGAAAGAGCGAUAAUCCAUUGAGUCCGGACUUUAUUCCAUCUAUUUUCAACUACGUUCCAUCUCCAGAGAAGAGGAGAAGAAAAAUGAGUCUGGAUGUGUUCAACAGAAGACAGAAAUAAAGCUAUCUGCAGAAGGUAUCCCUCCAAGUCAACAAGCGAUUAUCCCCAAGAUGACAGCAAGAAUCUUACUGCAGACCAAACUCCCAUCUCACAGCAUUUGAAGGACUCCAUCAAUGAAGAACCUGGAAAUGAUGUCCAGCCUGUUCUCCAUGAGAAUGUUCUAUUGUGUAGCACUGAAACAUGUAGUAAACGCCUCCAAUCUCUUGAGCAAGAAUGCCAAGCUCUGAGGACUGAAAAUGUGUUGCUGAAAGAAAAAAUGAAUAACACUACACUGAAUGAAAUAAGCUUCCAUAAUGAUGAUAAAAGGGUUGAUAUUCUUACUGGUUUACCAACAUAUACAAUUCUCAUGACAGUUUUUCAUCGUGUGGCUGAUUUUCUCAAACUUAAAUCUUGUUUAACAUGUUUUCAGUAGUACAUGUUAACGUUAAUGGAGCUUAGAAUGAACUUGUCCUUUGACUUUUUAUUUCAAAAUUGUCUCAACCACUGUUUCAAAGUUUUUCAAACACUGUAUCAGUGUGAUGCCUUGUAGACUGGUGCCAAGUCUAGUGUUGUGGCCUGACAGAGAAUCCCUAAGACAAUCUUUGCUAUAUGCAUUUUGGAACAGCAGCUUUGAGAAGACUGUUUGCAUCAUAGAUUGUUUAGAAAUAUUUCUAGAGAAACCGAGUAGAUUGCUAGCCAGUGCUCAGUGUUACUCCUCGUACAAGUCACAUCACAUAGUAAAAUAUUUAAUUGCAAUUUGACCUCAAGGUUCUAUUUGUUUCACCGCCUCUGAAUGAGGAGAUCACACAACUGAUAAGUUUAUUACAGAACAAAGUAAUUUUUUUUUAUCUCAUUUGCUCCCAGGUGAUGUAGUUUUAGCAGACAGGGGUUUCCUGGUUAAAGAGUCCAUUCAGAGAUGCCAAGCAGAAUUAAAGAUUCCAGCAUUUACUAGUGGAAAGAAACAGAUGGAUCCUGUUGAUUUGGAGAACACCAGAUGUUUUUUUUCUCUCAGGAUACAUAUAAAAGAGUAAUAGGAUUUCUCCGUCAAAAGUAGACGAUCUUGCAAAGCACUGUCCCCAUAACUUUCACAGACAUAGACAGAGAAAAUGAUGUGACCUAUCUUGACAAGAUUGUGGGUGUAUGUUGUGAGCUUACAAAUGUAUCUGAAUCUGUGGUCCCCUUCCAGUGAUGUAAAUGAAAAUUAUGUGACUGAUGUGCUCAACCAACAAAUACACAU